CGUUCCUCACUGCGAGAGGAGUUAUGUGGAGAGGAGAUGACCAUUGCACACAUUUUGUGUCUCAUGUCACUGUCAAACAGGAAUAAAGUGAAUGUCAGAAGUUGAA